UACGUAGGGUGCGAGCGUUAAUCGGAAUUACUGGGCGUAAGGCGUGCGCAGGCGGUGAUGUAAGACCGAUGUGAAAUCCCCGGGCUCAACCUGGGAACUGCAUUUGUGACUGCAUCGCUGGAGUGCGGCAGAGGGGGAUGGAAUUCCGCGUGUAGCAGUGAAAUGCGUAGAUAUGCGGAGGAACACCGAUGGCGAAGGCAAUCCCCUGGGCCUGCACUGACGCUCAUGCACGAAAGCGUGGGGAGCAAACAGG
rnacentral:rRNA from 1 species